UCUCUUUGCCUCUUUCCCUCUUUCCCUCUCUCUUUUUUCUUUCUUUCUAACAAAACAGAGAAAAGUCAAUACAGUUUCUCAUCUUUAUCCACAUGGAAAUGAUUUAUGUUUUUGGAAGUUUAUGAUUUUGAGAGAAAAGCCUAUCCUGGGGCAAACAGUAAUCCUGCCAACCAGAAUACCAAAGAUUCUGAGAGGGACUCAGGUCUUUUCUACUAAUCUGCUGUGAGUCACUUAGCCUCCAUUUCUUCAUAAGGAAUGUUAACCACUUCAUGAAAAUAAUACAGAUUAACCAAGCCAUAGCUCUAGAAACCAGACUCCACAUGUUGCUGGGCCUCACUAGCUGUCUGGGAGCUAUAAGGCUGCCCUAGGAAAUAAUUGUGUCUCCCCAAGAAAGCCAAGUCCCUGACCAACGCAUGAACCAUUCUCAGAAUCCAGCAACGGUUGUUUUAUAUUAAAUGAAUCUAAUUACUUAGUAGAGUGAACCUGUAACUAAUUUAAAGAAAUACAGCAAGCAUUGUUAUCUUAGGUUGAACAAAACAGUAGCUUUAGGUUUCUAUAUAUAUUACAUUUAUUUCAAUAGUUAAUACUUUUCCAAUCAAUGCAUGUGAACCAUGAUAGGGAGUUUUCAUUUCUUGAAAGAGUUUGUGCCAGUGUCUUCUGGAUAAGGAAAGGCAUCAUGGGAGGUAGGGCAAGGAAGCUGACAAAAAACAUGUACAAGGGGAAAUAUUCAAGAAAAAAUGUACACAACCACACAAUCACAUGCUGGCAGUAAAGGGGAAACAUGGCCUUUCGUAAUACGGGAAACAGGAGAAAAUGGGAGGCUAAAAUGAAAAGAAAAAAACCUAUGUCAGAGUAAGGAACUAGGACCUGAAUUACACUCCAGAAGCUGACUAAGAUAGAAUGCUAAUAAAUUGCUCAACUAGAUAUUCUGAUGGUAAGAAGUCCAAUGAGCCAAGUUAAAUAGAGAUCAAUCAAUGAUGGCCUUCACAUUAUUUGGGGACAGGCUCUUGUAAAUAGGUCACAACACAUUUUAUUUUAUGCUUUUUUCCCCAAACAUGAAAUAUCAGGAAAUAUAGUUGCUGUUUGGUUUCAAGCUCUGAUUGGAGACAGUUGUUGCAUAUGAAUGGAGGUCAGAUGAAGGGUGGUAGAAAAUGACUAUUUUAGCACUGGCACCCAGAAGGAUGGGUCAUAAUUCAGAAGUGCCCCAAAUCACACCUAUCUGUAGAAGACUUCCUGCCUUUUUGAGGUGGUGGAAUAUGAACACCAGUGCUUUCUGUGGUUCCUGAUUUCUUCCUUCGUGACAACCUUUGUCAGUGUUUGAUACAAGGUGCAUGUAUCGGUGUUUAAUAAGAAGCAGAAACAGUGACAUAGAAUGAGGGGUUUAUUCCAGGGAUUAGACCUCAGGCAAGUGUGGGAUCUGGUGAAGAAGUCAAUGGGAGUGUGUUGCAUCUGUCUGAUAAUGGGCUGAACUCUCCGGGUCAGCACAGCCACCAGUAACAAAAGCUGGGCAUGAAGUAGAGAAGAACAAAGAAUUGGAAUUAGGAGGAAAAACUGGAACCCACAUCAGCCUUUUACCAACCUCAAUGGGGGUGACUUCCAGAAGGAUCUAGUGCCCUCUGCCAUGGAGCUGAACAUGUACCUAGCAUAGGACUUGGCAAAGCUGAAGACAGAGCUUUGGGAGCUUCAACUACAGCUGCUGCGCUAAGUCCAGAUAUAAUCAAGAAGAGGUCAUAUUGGAUUAAGAUGGGCUCUAAUUCAGUGACUGGUGUACUUAUAAGAGGAGGGGAAUUUGAACACAGACACAAAGAAUGUCACGUAACAAUGGAGGCAGAGAUUGGACAAAGGAACAUCAAAGAUUACCAGCAACCAUCAGAGGCUACAAGAGACUCAUUGAACAGAUUCUCCCUCAGAGCUUCUAAAAAGGAAGUGACCCCACUAUCACAUUGAUUUAGGACUUUUCGCAUACAGACUGCAGUAAAAUAAAUUUCUGUUGUUUUAAGCCACCCAAUUUGUGGUACUUUGUUAUAGCAGCCCUAGGGAACUAAUACAAAGACUAUUAUUACCCCAUUUUAUAUUAGAUGGUGGAUGGGGUAGAAAAAAGAAUUGGUUAAUAUACAACCAAAUAUAUUUAUAUCAAAAAAUAAAUAUUCAUAAUUCUUACCAUCCUAAUUUCUAUAACUGAUCUUGUGGUCAUAGCUGGUAUUUAUAACUUCCUUCUUUCACUACCCAUUCCAUAUACUUGUGUCCUCAGCAAGCACAUCACCUAGUCAUGGUUUCUUGCCUGUUGGGGUGAUGUCAGUUUUCAUUUUUGAGGGAUCCAAGCUUUUGCAAUUGAGCCUGCAUUGGGUUAUUUUCCACUUACUUUGUUCGUUACAGCAACAAAAGUAAUUACAAGACUUGAGAGUAUAAGAUAUGAUCUUGAAUUCCAGGCACACUUUUUCUUACUCCUAUAAUCUGGUAGUAAUCCAAUUUCCCCAGUCAUCCCAGCCAAUACACCAAUAUCUGACUUUGCUUGUUGAUUCUUUAGCAUAAGGAGCCCAAAGUCGGCAGCAGGGAGUAUCAACUUCCAUCUUAAUGGAAUCAUUGCUGUAUCUCCUAGUAGAAGCAUCUCUCCCUUGGGGACCAGAACUUCUAGACCAGCAGAGUCUAAAGUUGAGAAUAGAAAGAAUAAAUUUUGCUGUGGAUCACUAUGGGUAACAGUAAGAGGAGCCCUUUCCAUUUUUCCCCCUUGAUUCCUGGAUCUAUGAAAUCUGGAUAAGAGAGAAACAGCAACAUGCAUUGAUUGAUCAUUUAGAGAAUUUACUGCAUCUUUCAGGACAUUAUCCUAGCCCUGCAAAGUGUUUCCAUCCAUCUAGCACAGUAAAUAGUUAAAAGAAGAAUUCCACCUUUCUACUGCUUUAGAGUGAUGAAUAACAAGUUAAGACUAAUGAAUUCCAUGAGCAUGAGUCUGUUAUUCUUCAUUUGCUGCAAAGUAAGUUCCUUGGUCAAAAGCAAAGCACUGUGGAAUAACAUGAAGGGAAAUAAGAUAUAAGAAUUCUUUAAGUCCACAGAUACUGAUUUUGGCAAAGGUAUUACAGGUAGGGAAGACAAAUCCCUAUAAAGAGUAAGUUUCUAUGGAGCAAGAACAAAAUACUGCCCUUUCAGGCCUUGUGAGUAGAAGUUCAUGUUGCUGAAUUCAUGCAUACCCUCCAUGUCUACCAUCAUGGCUAUUUUGUUCACGAGCUCAUUGGUCAAGAACAGAAGAAACUGGAAAGAAAAACCUGAUAGAGGUCUGCAGAAUGUGUUCUCUUGUCCAUUAUUAAGAUUCUUACAUGCUGAGGUUGAGCUUUGAUCAACAUUCACAUGGGCCCAUUUAGGAAAGUCUAUCCAUUUACUUCUUCCCUAGAUUUUCCUGUCACUAAUUUUCCAGUCAUGUUUCUUCUAAGUCCCUUAUUAUCCAUCUAAACGUUAGCAACUGCCCAUGAAGCAAUGUAGAUUUAUACCUCUGGCUGUCUUUCCUUUGAGGCAAAAUGAACAAUUAGGUACACUGCUGGAAGUUCUUAUUACUGGGAAAAUUUUUCUUCCCCACACCACCAGUAUAGGGCCACAAUGAUUUAGUCAUUCGGUUUUGGAUGAUACCAGAAUAUCACACAAAAAUUUCUGUAAACAAUGCCAAAUAUUUUUCAGUCCACUGGUCACUGAGUGCUUCCCAUGAGGCCAUGGGUGUAAGAUUCUGAAGCUAUUGUUGCACAAAUAGACACCAUGGGUAACUGGGUCACUUGCUUAUUUAAUAUACUUGUGCUUGAUCUCAUAUAUUCUACUUCCAUUUGAUCAUUGAAUGAACAACUUAGAGGCUUCCAUUUGAUCAUUCAUGCACAACUUAGAGGCUUGAUGGAUCAACAACACUUAGUUCAUCAUGGGCAGUUCAGGUUGCAUUAUAACUUGAUGGCCCAUGAUCAAGCUUCCAGUUUCAAACUGGUAUUCUAAAGAAGAAUUUUGAAGAGAAAAGAAGAAUAUCUGAAUUAAAAGAAGAAUUUUUCUGAAGAAGUUGUUAUAGUUUUGCUCCAGAAUUCUAAAUGUCUGCUCUAUGAUUCAUCUAUCAGGUUAAUGGCUUCAUGCAAGAUUCCUGCCUAACAGAGACAUUUUUAGCACCAUGGAAUCUACUGGAUCUAGAUGUGGAGACCAAAGCUGCCAAUCCAAGGACCACACUUUGAGUAGCAGGCCCCAGAGGAUGCAUUUUGCAAAGAGGUAAUUACCAUGAAGACUAGUGGCCACAGGAACUCAGGAUUGCUCUCUCUGGGACCUAUUGUGGGCUCUACCUAUGGGUCUGAGUUUACUAUCUCCCCCAACAACUUCUAGAAAAUAAAAUCCGUAAAGUGAAACUAAUAUACUCAGCAACCC
rnacentral:lncRNA from 1 species